rnacentral:misc_RNA from 1 species
GAAAUGCGAUAAGUAAUGUGAAUUGCAGAAUUCAGUGAAUCAUCGAAUCUUUGAACGCACCUUGCGCUCCUUGGUAUUCCGAGGAGCAUGCCUGUUUGAGUGUCAUGGAAUUCUCAACUCUAUUUGCUUUUGUGAAUAGAGCUUGGAUUUGGAGGUUUAUUGCUGGUACUUGUGAUCGGCUCCUCUUGAAUGCAUUAGCUCGAACCUUUGCGGAUCAGCUAUCGGUGUGAUAAUUGUCUACGCCGUUGCAGUGAAGCAUAUCAAUGGGCUCGGCUUCCAAUCGUCCUUUGCUGGACAAUGACUUUGACCUUUGACCUCAAAUCAGGUAGGAUUACCCGCUGAACUUAAGC